UUGCUAUUUUUAAAAAUAAUACUAUAUGUUUUUUGCCACCAACAUUGAUGCCACCACUAUUACCACUGUGGUUGCUGCUAUUGUAGCCAUAGCUAUUAUAACUGUUAUUGCCACCAUCUUUAUUAUCAUCACCAAAUUGUUGGUGUUGCCAUUACUAUCUUUACCAUCAUCUCUACCAUGCAACUAUCUUCAUCAUAGCAGCCUCUUCCAUAUUAUCAAGGUUUCCAUUAUUAUUGCCACCAUCUUUGUCACUAUCCUUAUGCCACC
rnacentral:lncRNA from 1 species